rnacentral:rRNA from 1 species
CCUACGGGUGGCAGCAGUGGGGAAUAUUGGACAAUGGGCGAAAGCCUGAUCCAGCCAUGCCGCGUGUGUGAAGAAGGCCUUCGGGUUGUAAAGCACUUUCAGUGGGGAAGAAAGCCUUGGGGCUAAUACCCUCGAGGAAGGACAUCACCCACAGAAGAAGCACCGGCUAACUCCGUGCCAGCAGCCGCGGUAAUACGGAGGGUGCGAGCGUUAAUCGGAAUUACUGGGCGUAAAGCGCGCGUAGGCGGUCUGAUAAGCCGGUUGGGAAAGCCCCGGGCUCAACCUGGGAACGGCAUCCGGAACUGUCAGGCUAGAGUGCAGGAGAGGAAGGUAGAAUUCCCGGUGUAGCGGUGAAAUGCGUAGAGAUCGGGAGGAAUACCAGUGGCGAAGGCGGCCUUCUGGACUGACACUGACGCUGAGGUGCGAAAGCGUGGGUAGCAAACAGGAUUAGAUACCCUAGAGUC